CCUACGGGUGGCUGCAGUGGGGAAUAUUGGACAAUGGGCGAAAGCCUGAUCCAGCCAUGCCGCGUGUGUGAAGAAGGCCUUCGGGUUGUAAAGCACUUUCAGUGGGGAAGAAAGCCUUGGGGCUAAUACCCUCGAGGAAGGACAUCACCCACAGAAGAAGCACCGGCUAACUCCGUGCCAGCGGCCGCGGUAAUACGGAGGGUGCGAGCGUUAAUCGGAAUUACUGGGCGUAAAGCGCGCGUAGGCGGUCUGAUAAGCCGGUUGUGAAAGCCCCGGGCUCAACCUGGGAACGGCAUCCGGAACUGUCAGGCUAGAGUGCAGGAGAGGAAGGUAGAAUUCCCGGUGUAGCGGUGAAAUGCGUAGAGAUCGGGAGGAAUACCAGUGGCGAAGGCGGCCUUCUGGACUGACACUGACGCUGAGGUGCGAAAGCGUGGGUAGCAAACAGGAUUAGAUACCCUGGUAGUC
rnacentral:rRNA from 1 species